ACCUAAUAGAUACCCGGGUAGUCCACGCCCUAAACGAUGCGAACUGGAUGUUGGGUACAUUACGGUACUCAGUGUCGAAAGCUAAACGCGUUAAGUUCGCCGCCUGGGGAGUACGGUCGCAAGACUGAAACUCAAAGGAAUUGACGGGGGCCCGGCACAAGCGGUGGAGUAUGUGGUUUAAUUCGAUGCAACGCGAAGAACCUUACCUUGGCCUUGACAUCUGUCGAAUCCUGCAGAGAUGCGGGAGUGCCGCAAGGAACGACAAGACAGGUGCUGCAUGGCUGUCGUCAGCUCGUGUCGUGAGAUGUUGGGUUAAGUCCCGCAACGAGCGCAACCCUUGUCCCUAGUUGCCAGCACAUCAU
rnacentral:rRNA from 1 species